CUAUGGAAAGAGUUCCCACUGGGCAACUGCCCCCUGCUCUCAGACUCAAACUGCCACCCAAGAGUGGGCACAAGUCUACAGUGGGCGAUGUCUUGGUAGGGGGCGUUCUGAGUGGGCAAGUGGAGAGCAGCGGGCAGGGGGUGCACAGGACAGAUGGUGCCUGCUGUGUCUCUUUGUGGGACCUCCUUACCUACUCUGGGAUGAGCACAAGAUCAUAUCACACCAAACCCAACUACUAUGCUAUCGUGGAAGAGACUUAUUGAUUUGUCCAGAGGCUUUGUAUUUAAUGGGGGAAGACUGUGCGAGGGAGAUAAAGGUGAGAAAUUUCUCCUCCUCCAGCAUCCCUGGCUACAGCUGUGGAGCCUCCAGCAUUCCAUCCUCUUCCCAGAUUUUCCAGGCUCAGAAAGAGCGAGAAACCUGCUAAGGAGACACAGCUGGGGCAUGGCAGAGUUGGGAUUUGAACAGUGGAGGCAUAGGACACACAGUCGGCCACAUCCACUUCCUCUCCUGCAUGUGAACCUUCCAGCGAUCCCCACUGCCUCAAGAAAAAAAAAAAAAAAACUUGGCCCAGAAGUCUAUAUUCUUCCCAACCUAGUCCCACCUAAUAGCCAGCCUCCCGUCUGCUGCAAGCAUUCCCCAUUCCCACCAGGAAGAAGCUGGCAUGCGCCGUCUCUGCUGCUAAAACUGCUGUCGCCCUACUGGGCCCUUGGGGGUGUGAGUUCCUGACCGUCUGCCUGGACUUGACAAGAGAAGAUACCGAGCAAAAGUAAUGAAAGAAAAAAAAAAAAAAGACUGCAGGAGAAUGCAGGCUGGAACCUGUCCUAUAGAGUUAUUCUAGCACUGUGCUAAGCCAUUUAUCGAGCCGUGUUUGGGGCUAAUUGCUGGUGAUAAGAGCAACAUAAAUAUACCGAGCCACAGCCUUGCCUGACAAGAUUUUAUAUACCAACCACCAACCAAGUUAUCUUCCCAUUACACGCCUGCAAUAAUUUUUAGUGGCCAUCACUCUUUACUGAAUCACUACAAUAAACCCUUUCGAUAUAAACAACUCGCCUUUCAAUAUAGCCAUAAAUCAGACUCAGUGUCAUCCCCAUGAUCCCUGUGCUGAUGGAGGGAGACUCAGGGCAGUAGUUCUGAGCGCUGGUGCAUGUCAGACG